AGCGGCGGACGGGUUAGUAACGCGCGGGAACGUGCCCUUUAGUACGGAAUAGCCAUUGGAAACGAUGAUUAAUACCGUAUACGCCCUAUGGGGGAAAGAUUUAUCGCUAAAGGAUCGGCCCGCGUUAGAUUAGGUUGUUGGUGGGGUAAUGGCCUACCAAGCCUACGAUCUAUAGCUGGUUUGAGAGGAUGAUCAGCAACACUGGGACUGAGACACGGCCCAGACUUCUACGGAAGGCAGCAGUAGGGAAUCUUGGACAAUGGGCGAAAGCCUGAUCCAGCCAUGCCGCGUGAGUGAUGAAGGCCCUAGGGUUGUAAAACUCUUUCGCCAGGGAAGAUAAUGACGGUACCUGGUAAAGAAACCCCGGCUAACUCCGUGCCAGCAGCCGCGGUAAUACGGAGGGGGUUAGCGUUGUUCGGAAUUACUGGGCGUAAAGCGCACGUAGGCGGACUAGUCAGUCAGAGGUGAAAUCCCGAGGCUCAACCUCGGAACUGCCUUUGAUACUGCUAGUCUAGAGUUCGAGAGAGGUGAGUGGAAUUCCGAGUGUAGAGGUGAAAUUCGUAGAUAUUCGGAGGAACACCAGUGGCGAAGGCGGCUCACUGGAUCGAUACUGACGCUGAGGUGCGAAAGCGUGGGGAGCAAACAGGAUU
rnacentral:rRNA from 1 species